AUGCACAAGGCCAGAUCUCUCGUUGAGUGUUGGAAUUGUGAGUCGCUUCAUGGAAGAACCAGUUGUUGCACACUGAAAAGCUUUAAAGAGAAUCCUUCAAUAUGUCCAAGGAACUGUGUCACUUGGAAUGUUCUAUUCGAAAGCAGAAGAAUACAAGUUAACUGGCUACUCUGA